rnacentral:tRNA from 1 species
GCAUUGUUCGCAGAUUCUGGAGCUGCAAGGCCUUUGACAGAGCCCUUGCCGAACUCAGCCUGUUCUUCUUUCGGCGCGAUGUU